UUUUUUUUUUUUUUUUUUUGGUCCUAUUUUUGUUCCUUUUGCCUCGCCUUUCCAUGAAUACACUCUCUGAGGUGCGUGCACUUGCAAACGCUGGACUUGUGGUGAUUUGGACCAUGGGGACACACCUGGCUUGAUGGGGACAGGGCUUCCACCAAGGGAUUGGAGGUAUCCCACAAGACUGUUGGGGAGCUGUCUGCUUCAGGCUUUCCCCUGACAGACAUGGAAGACAAGGGACGUUUUCGCUCAUUGGCCUUGAGCCUGCUCUUGGUUUUCAUGCUACCAAUGGCAGAAUUUUCAGAAACCCCCUUGGAGGAGCAGGGAUCUUCAGGUGAGUCCAUGUCCCAACUCAUGUGCUUCGGUGAUGCAGGAAGCCACCAAUGACACAUCCGAAUCCCUAGGUUUUGAUGGAUGAUUAAAUGUCAAAACAUGUAAGAUGACUGUGGUUUCUUCCAAGCCCUGUCUUGAAAGGGAGCCACCAGGUGAACCGUAUUUAAAUCACGAGGGGGCAGGGCUUUACUCAUUGAAAGCCUGUCCUGUGUCAGGCUUUGUGUUAGUUGGGUAAAUGAAGGGAUUAAAAAAAAAAUCCUGUUACUCAUCCAUAGAGCAUUCCAUCUGCCUGUGCAUUCAGCCAUCCAUUUUUAUGUACAGAGUAUAAAUUAGUUUUAGUUGCCCUUGGGGACACAGGAAAGACCACUGAGGCAACAGCAGGUUUGGGAAACGUCUUUGCCGUAUCUUCUAGGUGCAAAUACAGCUUUGCCUCUUAGACAUAGCAAGAACACCUGCCCCUUAGAAUAUAGGUGGAAUGGCUUCUUGGUGACUAAAAGAACUGGUGUUAUCUUCUUUCUGCUUUAAGUAAGAAAACAAAUUGACCAGAAAAAUAACCUGUUGUUGUGGGUAUGCCCUCUGCCCUCCAGCACUUAGAUUGUGCGGUUUUGCUUUUCAGAAGAGAAAAUCUCAGAGAAUAUUAUUUUCCCCUCACUGGUAGCUAUCUGUUCAUCUCUCCAGGGAAAUGUACUUUAUAUAUUUCCAUGUGAUUAUUUACUUUCACUUGAGGAAGAGUAAACUUUUUUUUUUUUUGCUUUUUAGGGCUGCACCCGCAGCAUACGUAGGUUCCCAGGCUAGGGGCCGAAUCAGAGCUACAGCUGCUGGCCUUCACCACAGCCACAGCAAUGCCAGGUCCGAACAACAUCUGUGACCUCCACUGCAGCUCAUGGCAAUGCCAGGUCCGAACCACAUCUGUGACCUACACUGCAGCUCAUGGCAAUGCCAGGUCCUUAAGCCACGGAGCGAGGUCAGGGAUUGAACCCGCAACCUCAUGGUUCCUAGCUGGAUUUGUUUUUGCUGCCCCAUGAUGGGGACUGCUUAACAUUUCUUCUUGACAACCUCACUGAGCCUUUCUGAAGCUGCACUGUGAUGCAACACACCUGGCAGGUAGAAGUCCGCCUCAACUGGCUCAUUCUCACUGGUUUCCUGUUGCUCUGGGAGAACCAAUGGCCCGGGAUGGAACUGAAGAUUCUCUUGAAGGUUAAAAGGUGUGUCAUCUUGAACUUGGCUCUGGGUUUAUUGGUGCCACUGGAAGACUACCCCCAUCGUUCUGCCCUGUGCUGACCUUUUCCAGCUAUGAUAAUAAAAUCUAAGCAGCUGGUCACCCAACUUCUUUAAAUGUAGGGACAGGCUCACGCCGGAAGCACCCUUCCUGCCAAAUCCUUGCUAUAGAGAUUGUGUACAAAUUCUGACGCCAUGCAACAGAAGUUGGGAAGAGGAAAAAACCUACUAAACUAAUGAAAGGGGAAAAGACACAGGAGACAAAAAGCCAGGGCUUAUCACGGAGCUCAGGCUGUCUCGCAGGCAGAGUGGGGUCAGAGCGCUGUGCUGUGUUUUCAAGUUGUUAAGGCCGCACACCCUAGCAUCGCUUGGAGGGUAGGAAAUAAUUAGUGAUGACAUACGCAGAGCCAGGGCUUUUCUCACUGUCCUAAGGGAGUCAGGGUCCUUGCACCUUGUCUUAACUCACUCCUAUGGAUAAGAUGUGCCGGGGAGUUUCUUCCCUGUAAGAUAUCAGCGCCGGGUCUCAGGACCACAGAUCUGUGCCUUAGAGGUCUACGAGUCUAUCUCUGCCUCCGUAUUUUUCAAAGCUGUUUCUACUUCAGAGCAUGUGGCAGUACCCCGGCCCCAGGGGCUGGCACAUGGCAACCCAAAGUUGGUUGCCUUCUUAUUUCCAGCUGGGGAGGGACAAGGGAGGGAUGUCGGGACGCUUGCUGGGGUACCGUUCCCGUUGCAGAAACAGCUGCACUCACAUCAUCCACCAACACGUCUCACUGUCACAGCUAAUGACUCUCGCG
rnacentral:lncRNA from 1 species